rnacentral:lncRNA from 1 species
GGGGACCUGUAUAGAAAUAAACAUGCUGGUUCUGGCUUGAUUGAGGGUGUGGAGCCUUAGAGUCAUAUAUCUGCGUUGGUUGGUUUGGAAGAGGUCCGGCUUCGGGGGGUUCAUUGGUGAAGCCUCUUGAUGGCAGAGUCGUGUACUCGUAAUCUGACAUUUUGUAAGGAUUUUAGAAAAUACCUACUCUUGUGAUGGAGAGUGUUUUUGGAGUUUCCAGUUUUGUGGCCGUUACUGUUGUAUCAUUAACAAGGACAUUCUUGGCUCGAGAGAAUAAUUUUUUGUUUUUUGAAUUGAAGUAAUAUACUUAACAAUUUUGUUAUUUUUAAUAAUAGUUCAUGUUGUUAAAUUUUAUUUAAUCUAUGAUUUGGACUUUAUUUCUGUUUUAAAAAAAACUUAUGUAAAUUAAACAUCGUAUAAAAGAUGUGCCGAUAAGAGGAGUCUUGUCUUGCCUGGUCGACCGUUCUGGAAUGUUGUGGCUGUUGUGUCAUCGUAUUUGUUUGAAGAUUGUGGUAUUGUGCUUAGUAUUGGUGUGACUCUUUUUGUUCUUGAACUACGAGGGGCAGCAAGAAUUUUGGCUAUUGGUAUUAUUUAUGAUUAUUGAGAUAUAUUGUGAAGUAUUUGUCAUUGUUAAUGCAACUAUUGUGUCAUUUUAUCCAGGCAAGAGCUUAUAUGGUAAUAUUGUUUUUUUCUGUUAAGUAAAUUGAGUUAUUUUCAAUUAAUAAAAAGAUUUUCAACAUGGAGCAUGUGUUUGAAUCUUUUGUUCGAUGGAUGGAGUCUUAUGAAAUUACCAUUCAAAUUAAGGUCCAUACCAAUCCAAGGUCAUCUUACAAUGAAUCCCGAGGCCAACUCGAAAGCGGCGGGUGAGAGGUACGGUCCACCGUCGCAAUUUUAUUUACGCACCAUCUCGCUAAUCUCUUCUUUGGUAGGUGCGUCGGGGCUGGGGUCCUUUCCACAAUAGGUCGGGCUUCUAUAGGGUGUUU